CCUGGCUGCUUGGUUUGCCUUUUAUAUUUUGUGCUAGUUGUGGUAUAUUCAUCCGGACUUCAGUGUGGAAUGUCUUAAGCAAAGUUCAGCAAGUAAAUCAACACUUAUUUUUAUCCAAGAUAGAUAACUGAUUAGCAAAGCAGGAUGUAAAAGAGGGUAACCUAUUAUGGUCUGAAUUUUUCAUGUAUGUGCAUGCAGCUUUAAAUAAACACUUUAGCUUCCUGAGCAUGCAAAUUGUGUUACAGAGUAUGAGAGAUUUGUGUGAUUUAUAGGAAGGCUGCCCUAAGAGAAUGGUGUCUGUUUUUCAGUUUCACUGCAAGGUCAGCUCUGAGUAUGAGCAAAGCUUCAGCACGACACUGGACUUUCCUCUCUUCAUGUGUUCCAGUCGCUUAAGCUCAAGAAUUCAGCAGUCAGUUCGAGAGAUGAACGAGAAGGGAAAAUUUCUGGGGGCUGAGCAGCAAAGCUUAAUAUCCAAAGCUGAAAAGACUCCCAGAUGAAUAGAGCAAUCCAGACAACCCACCAGACACAAACCCUGGCCCAUAACCUGCAGACAUGGACAAUUACCUACACAGUCCAAUGAUGUCAGUGGAAAACAACACAGAGACUUAAAGGGAAAUAUGGGAAAGCUAAACAAAACAACCUCAAACAAGAUCUGUGCAACUUCUUUGGUAUAUAAAUAUCCCUAGACAGAGGAGAGAGACAACCAGAAGCACCACUUGAGAAAUGGAAUUCAAGGCAAAUGUUUCAAGGUGCCUUUGUGUGCUGGUGCACCUGCACCGUAGCCCUCAGCAGGUCCAUCAUCACCCCGAGAGCCAGGCAUGGUGCCACCUGGCUGUGCGUGCGGAGGGUGUAAGCUACGUGCUACAAGUAUGUGGAGAUAUGGGAGAAACAAAAGGAGAUGUCUCAAGAACAGCCUCAGACAAGAAAGUUGUGUAAGCAGAAGUCCCCACCACGCAUAGAAAGCCCAUGUUAUGUUACAGGAACUUUGGUGAGUGACGAGGAUGUGCUUGUGGGCAGGCUGGAAAUCUGCAGGGGCUGAGGCAAGAGGAGGAGAGGAGGUGCCUCAGUACAAAAAAGGUGGAUUCCAGGGUUUGCUGGAUUCAUACCACUGUUACCACUGUUUGUGCCACAGAGUUCAUGGGGAAUGAAUAUGAGCUAACUUCCUUCUGUUUUCUUGAUAAUUCUUCCUGACUGUUUAACUUGGUCACCAGAGUCCACCACAACUUUGUUGUUACUACUUUGGGGUGGUUUUGUGGCAUCUUUUUACUCUGAGUAUCUAAUAAAACACCCAGGCUUGCCCAAGCAGUUGUUAAUGACAUUGAGUUGUUACAUUUGAACUAGGAUUUUCUGUUCUGUAAUACAAAACCAAAAACGUGCAAGCUCAUAAACAGCUUAGUCAUAAAACAGGUUGGGAUCAAUACUAUAGGAGUUCUUCUGUGCAUGAAGAUCCUAUGCAUUACCCAGGAUAACUCAUAAGUGCUGCCACUUCCCUGUAGCAGAUAUACCAUGGCCUGUAUGAGUGUGUUAGAGUUAACAAGAGAGGAAUGCAUGUGACAAGAGGUCAUGGAUCAGAAGAGAUCCCUUCAAGCAGAUGUGGAGAGCCAGCCUUUCAGGCCACCCAGCAGCAGCAGGACUGGCCCCAGCGUGGUCCGCGCUCCCUCCGCCCAGAGAAGCAGCUGGACACCACCUCUCCGUUCUAGGAAACCCGUGCACUCCCUGGGACAUGUGGCACGUCUGUGGUCCAGAAGAGAACGUCACACCUGCCUUGCAGAGUCAGGGAAAAUUGGUCCAAUGCUAAUCCUGAAGACUGAGAUUUCUUUUUCUUUUUUUUUCUUUUUUUUUUUGUUUUUUUACAUUUUGAUGACCAAGAUUUCCUUUCUUGUGGAAGAAUCUCGUAUUGCCAUAUUUUCUGACCUACUCACAGAUCUUCUCUUGCCUCCGUUUAGAAUAGAUUUUUCUAAAAAAUCAAUUGUUUUUCCUUUCUAAUUUCUUCUGCUUUGAAUUGUGUUAAUUCCAAACAGAUCAAGAGUUAAAACAAUCCUGUAUUCAUUUUCUUUUUUUUUCCAAACGAUGAGUCAUAUGAGUACGGAUGGCCUUUUGUUAUUCUUUAGUAAACUCAAACAAGAAUAUUUAUUCCCUCAUUAGAAAAAACAAUAAAUCAGAGAAGAGAAAAAUGUGAAACAAUAAUUUAAAAUAAUUCCUGGCUGUGUCUUACAGUUGCUCUUUUUUAUUUAG